GGCAGGAAUCCUCUCUGUGAUCCUGGUGCACAGUGGGGUGUGCACAGAGGAGCAGAGAUGCUCCAGCCAGGAUCAUUCACCCUGGGAAUGCUGAAUGUGGAAUCCUGGGAUGGGUUGGGAAGGACCUUAAAGCUCAUCCAGUGCCACCCUGCCAUGGGCAGGGACACCUUCCCCUGUCCCAGGCUGCUCCAGCCUGGCUUUGGGCACUGCCAGGGAUCCAGGGCAGCCACAGCUGCUCUGGGAAUUCUGUGCCAGGGUCUCCCCACCUUCCCAGGGAUGAAGUUUUUCCUGCUGUGUCAGUUUGAGCCCACCCUCAGCCCUGCUCAGGGUCAGAGUGUGAGACCCCAAUCCUGACCUUCCUCUGCCUCGGGGCUUUCCCUGCAGCUCCUUUGUGCCCACUCCAAGGCUGGAUCCCCCCCUGCAGCCCAGCCCUGGCUCUCCUGCCUGCCCAGCAUCGUUUGUGCCUCCCCAGAGGUGUGAGGGACACGGGGACAUCCCCACCUGCCUGUCCUGGACCCACAGUGCCUCCUCCUCGUCCUCCUCCUCCUCCUGAGCCUGGUGCUGGGCUUUGCCUUUAAAUCCCCUGGAGGAGCCGAGCCCGGGGCAGGCAGGAGGGGGGCAGGGAGAGCAUCUCCUGUGCUCCAGUGUUCCCAAACACUCGAGCCCGGCACAGAGUGUUCCUGCAGGGCCCGGGGCUGCCUUGGCUGGGGUGUUUAUCCAGAGGGAUGGUGCUUCUGGCACCUCCAGGCCAGGGUCCCUGCUGGAGGUUGGGGUGAGGGACAGAGGGACAGCCAGGAGCAGCUCCUGAGGACAGGAUGGACACUGCAGCUGGGACAACCAGGACAGCCAGGAACAGCUCCUGAGGACAGGAUGGACACUGCAGCUGGGACAGAGGGACAGCCAGGAACAGCUCCUGAGGCCAGGACAGACUGCAGCUGAAGCUGAGGGACAGAAGGACAGCCAGGAGCAGCUCCUGAGGACAGGAUGGACACUGCAGCUGGGACAGAGGGACAGCCAGGAACAGCUCCUGAGGACAGGAUGGACACUGCAGCUGGGACAGAGGGACAGCCAGGAGCAGCUCCUGAGGCCAGGACAGACUGCAGCUGAAGGACAGAAGGACAGCCUGAGGCCAGGACUGACACUGCAGCUGGAGCAGAGGACCAGCAGCCCCCUGGGCAGCCAUGGACCAUCAGGGCUGGGAGAGGCUCUUCCCUGAGCCCCAGCCCCCUCCUGCCCAGCCUGGCUGGGCUGCUCAUCCCUCCAGGAGCUGGGCUCCUCCACGUGGAACUGGCAGCGCUCAGGAAGGAUUUCUGCUGGGCUUUGGGAAUUAUCCUCCUGGAUCCUGGCCAUGGAUGGAUGGAUGGAUGGAUGGUGAAAGCUCCUGGGUCAAGCAGGAGCUCAGUGCUUUUCUCUGGCAAGGACCAAGCACUUGCCUGGUUUCCAGUGGAUUUUUUUGGUCUUUAUUUUUGCUGCUUUUCGGGGCUUUGGGUGUUUCCCGAGGAUGCUGGAGCUGCAGUGGAUCCCGUGCUGGGGACUGGAGCCUUUGGAAGAGCAGGAGCUGAGCUGCUGCUGGGGUUCCAGACUGGCAGAGGCUCAGCCUGUGCUGGGUGGCCUCAGGAGGGUCCUUGUGCCAUCCCAGUGGAUCCCAGAGCAGGUGGGAGUGUGGAGCAGGAAUGGGGAGCCACACCCCAGCCAGGGGAAUGUCACAGUGAGGGGAGUGUCACCCUCAGGGACAAUUAAACUGCGUUUAAUAAACCCCA